GUAUCCUAUGUUGAUGACGCAGACAGUGUCCAAGUUUCUGAGGUUUGGCAAAAGAAAAUGAAAAAACAAAAUACAUAUUUAUUUUGGAGAAAUUUCUGCUGUAUGUAGCACCAAGGCAGUGGGGAAAAAAAAAUUGUUUGUAAUGUAGACAAAUCUCUUCACUAUGUAGACAGCAUGCGAACAUGUAUAGGGUUAUAUGGUGGAGAUGGAGUCAUAUUCAUGGAAGAGGACUAUAAUAGUACUUUGUUUGGAAAGGAGUGGCUGUCAGGUGGUGGUCAUUGAUGCUUGUGUUGCAUUACUGUUUGGCGAAUCUCAAAUUACACAGAUUAGUACCAGCUGACUGGCUAGGCAGUUUUCUUUUGCACGGUAAGCAGCUGGAAUCUGGUGCUGACACAAAUUCAGUCAACCUCAGCACUGCAACAAAGUGUAUUAUACGUUUUAAUGUCUAGGAAUCAACAUUGGACACUCAUUGUUGCUGUCUUUGCCAACAAAAUUUUUACGUACGUGGAUUCACAAGGUCGUGAAGAUAUUGUCUUUGGGGAUGAAAUGUCUAGUACAGAAAUCGCUUUCAAGUAAUUUGCUACUUACCUGACAGAAAGAAAUACAUUUUCAAAUGAUAAAAUAAGUGUCCAUAUUUUGGAAAUAUGCAGCAAUAUCCUUCAUUCCAUUCAGAGUGAUGCUGGGAACUGUGGUGUAUUUGUUAUAUUCUUUAUCAAACAACUCAUAAUCAAUGCACCCCUGACUGAAUCAUUUGAUCCUGAUUUACUUUGUCAUGAACUUGUCCUGCGAAUUAAUAAAUUUGCUGAUUCAGGGAAGAAAGUUAGCCUCACGAGAUAUGUAAGUAAUGGGGGGAUAAAUUAUUUACACCCAUGAGCAAUGAAGAAUGGAAUUUUUAGGAACACCUCAUACUAUUGUGUCUAUGAUUUUGACGUUGUUUCCAAAUUUAUCGACACCUGUGGUUUUGAGAUAGUUUUGCGUGGCCCCGACUACUACAGUCUAUUUGAAGAUUGCACUUUUCGUAGAACGUUGUGAAACAGAUGAGGUAUUUUACGAACAGAUCGCUUUCAUACCAAUUUUUGCAGUUAAUAUUAUGCUGGUAAAACCUGAUGCUCUUCAUUCUUUAUACAUCUCCAAACUUCAUGACAUGCAUAACAAAGUUCUUUUGAUAAUGCCUUACAGUUUUCAAGAUGUGCAUUGGUGUCUGUUAGUGGCAAACUUACAGACACAUGAACUUUGGCACGUGGACCCUUUGAUUGGCGAUGGUGAUGAUGCAAUUUUAGAUAAUUUUUUGGAUUCCAGAAACAAGUUCUGUAUAGGAAAAAUUAGCAUUGAUGCCUGGCAAGUUUAGAAGCUGAAAGUAAAAAUACCUCUCCAAACCGACGUUAGUUGUGGCGUAUUUCUAAUUUUCUAUGCCUCUGUCUUUCUUCAGCAAAACAAUUUUCAAGAUACAUUCAGUUCAAGUAAUUUUCGUAAAAUGCUGAUAACUGCAUUGUUAGAGGAAUCAAGUGAUCUUUCGAAUUUGUGUCUCUAUUGUGGUAAAGAGGGUAAUAGGAAACAAAACCAUUGGGUUAUGUGUGACAUGUGUCACCGAUGGAUACAUUUUGAGCAGUGUCUUAAAGAAAACAAAUUAACAAAUGAUGUUUUGAAAGGUACACCACACCUGAAACUAAAGACAGUUACAAGGAGGCUCCUUCGAUUCUUGACCAUCAGGAGUCGGAGGAGUGUUUCAGUUUGUACACUAUCUCCCUUUCCACGUCUGUGGAAAUUUUUUGAAAAGAGAUGCCAAAUAUUGAACUUCAAUAUAUUCCUGAAAAGGGCUGUUAAGGCCAUCAAUCAGCAGAUAUGUUAUAACAGGACUCAAAUGAACUGUCAUAAACCAGUUGAGUUGGUGGACCUGUUCUCGGAGUUCUCUCGCAACAAUGAACCAAAGUGGGAUAUGUUUGAAAGGGAAGGUCUCCACUUGAACAAGAAAGGCCUGAGGCAUCUCAGUUACAUUUUGAGGCAGCAUUCAAUGGCGAGAUUUACAUGCUGAAGAAAAACAUCCUGCUGUUAUGUAAAUAAAAAGUGACUGGCAGCAGGAAAAGCAGUGUGCCAUAAUUAUGAAAACUCCCGAAGUAGAUUGUAGCCCCUUCUUCUAUAAAUCCCAUUAUGUUAUGGUGGAACAUUCCAACAACUAAGUUGUGGUUUCCAUGCUACAGUACAGUGAACUCAGCAGAGUUUGGUUUUACAGUUAAUGACAACUUUCAAUUAGUUAAUUUUUUAUGUAAUUUUUAUAAUACCAACCUCUUGUAAGUUGUACUGUGCUGGCUAACCUUCAGUGAUCAAUAACGUAUCAUAUAAACUGUUUAGGUAAACUAAAGAUGAAUUAAUUUGUUAAAAUUAUUUUUAGUACCUGUGUGUGUGUGAGGUGUUUGCAAGUGAAGACCAUAAGCUAUGUAAAAUUGAAAAAAUUUCUGUAAUUUCCAUAUACAUGAAAGGAAGAAGGUUUGGCAACAUUGCGAAAUAUGGGUUUGAGGUAUUUUUUUAAAUGUAUAAAAAUCCCUACAACUCCCAUAAUAUAAUAAGUAUGAAAACAUAAAACUUUUGUCUGAAAAUUUUUUUCUUUGGAAGAACCAUUGCAGUAAGGUGUUGAAAUUCAUAGUCAAAAACAUGAACGAUAAUCUGUGUUCGAAACAAAAGUAUACAAAGAAUUUUUUUUCCACUAGGUGCUGUUGUAUAUACAACUUUUGCUGGUGUUAGUAACAUAAAUACUUAUUUUUUAACCACGUGAAGUUUUUUUUACGUAAACUUUUUAUUUGGGAUAUUAAAAGUUCGUACUCCAGGAUCAACAGCAAUGAUUUCAACAAUUGAAACUUGAUUUACUUGUUCCUGUCCCAUUUAAAUUAAGCUGAAAUCACAAUACCACGACGGGCACGACACGACAGGCCUACAAACUCAGUAGCCAAUGAAAUACAAGAUUGCCACCGCUGCCGCCACUUUUCAUCAUUGGACGAAGCCCUCACACGAGGGAAGAACAAGCCAUUUGAGGGGCUCUUGACUUCCCAUUCUGUAAUCACUAAGUUUGAGUGCUAACUCCCCCUGAGCCUCUCGUCUUUUAUUGAUCAUUUCUGGGGUCACCAGGGCAAACCCAGCAGCUGAUCUUGUAGGGGAAGAGUGUUGCCACAUUUCCACCAGAUACCCUUUUGUUUUACCCCCUCUCUCUGCCCACUGAAGUAGAGGGUGAGGGCAGGGGUCCCCCACUUACCCAUGUUUCCUAAAACCGCCGAAAUUUGGAAUAUUGUGGGUCUUCUGGUAAUGAGAAUUUAUUUAUGAAUUUAGCCGAAAUGUGUUAUUUCAUAAGCUCGUUAGUGAUCGGGGAAAGCGACCGAGGCUCCAGGGGAGUGUUAAUUCUUAUAAUAAUUUAUUAUUAAUAAUUUAGUAUUGAAUUUACUUUAAUUGAGAAGCUUAAUUGGGCCUAAAAACGUAACGGAAGUCGGUGCUCCGUUAUGAUUGGUUAGAAGUGUAAUUGGCUCUGGCCAAUCAUAGCUCAGUUUUAACUAGGUGUUAACACUUUAUUUUCCUGUGCGGCUUUAAUGAGAAAAUACUUAGUUACGUAAUUAUUUGUGACUUCAUUAAUUUUAAAUUAAUGUGUUCGAAAAAUACAGCGUCUUUGUAUUUGUUUGCGGGAAGAAAGUGGUUGUAAAGUGUCGAAGUCUGUACUUUGCUGUUACGUCAGAAUUUCCGUGGCUAAGGAAAUGGUACUAGGAUUUGAGGCAGAUAAAAAUUACGACCAUUACUCGCAGCCCGUGAAAGUUGUUAGGGCCUGAACGAGCAGGAGGGGUUUUAUAGAAGGUUCGGUCACUGUACUGGAAAGGAGAAUGUAAGGUUUCACGUGAGCCAUGAAGGCUACAAAGUUGGCGUCGCGUAGGAACUGCAUGAGGUCGCGGAGAUCGGAGAGUGCGGACUGGAUGAGAGUGGAAGAUCUUGGAAACGGACAGGUAUUGGGGGAGGGGGGGG